CCCUUAGAUGUUCUGGGCUGCACGCGUGCUACAAUGGCGUUUCCAGCAAGUCUGCGAACCCGAGAGGGCCAGCGGAUCUUCGAAUUGGCGUCGUGAUCGGGACAGUCGAUUGCAAUUAUUUGACUCAAACGAGGAAUUCCUUGUAAUCGCGAUUCAUCAUAUCGCGCUGAAUACGUCCCUGCCCUUUGUACACACCGCCCGUCGCCCCUACCGAUUGAGCGAUCCGGUAAAUGUUUUGGAUUGGUGCCGGGGCGGCUAGCUGCCGGUCGCUACGAAAUUUUGUGAACCUUAUCGCUUAGAGGAAGGAAAAGUCGUAACA
rnacentral:rRNA from 1 species